AUACUGGCCAUUAACCCGCAGCAUCGGUAGCCGCUCUGAGAGAGAGGAAAGCCGCGCCGUACGUCAGCGGAGGCCGAGAAAAAUGGGCGCGCUCUGCCUGCUCCCGUCCACGCCGCCGUGCUGCUCUUGCGGCGCGGCCGGCGGCGGCGGGUCGCCCUCGCGGACGCCCAGGCUCGCGAGGACCGCAGCGCCUUUCGCCUCCUCCUCCUCCUCCUCCUCUGGCGCCGCUUCUUCCGGUGGAGGUUUGCAGCUCGCGUGCAGGCGGCGGCGGCAAGGGGGACGGGGGCGCGAGCGGAGGGGCGGAGUUCUUCGGGGAGGACGGCGUGGUGGAGGACAUGGACGGGUACCUCAACUACCUGUCGCUCGAGUACGACUCCGUCUGGGACACCAAGCCUUCUUGGUGUCAGCCUUGGACAAUCUUACUUUCAGGGGCUGUUGCAAUUGCCGGUAGUUGGUUGCCCAUCCAUUCCGCUGUGAUCACCGGAGGGGUUUCUUUUGUAAUAUGUGCAUGGUGGUACAUAUUUCUUUAUUCCUAUCCCAAGGCAUACACCGAAAUGAUAGCUGAGAGGAGGCGGAAGGUUGCCAGUGGUGCUGAAGAUACCUACGGGAUGGAGAAGAGCCAGUGAGGAAUUAAUUACUGCCACCACUGCAGGCGUGUCUUGUUUGUAGCAUUGAGUAUGAUUGUGCAGAGAACAAAACAAAAUCAUCGGUUUGUAGGACUUGUUCUUCAGAAUAUAUGUUCCAUGGAAUCAAUCUGUUCAGAUCAAUGGCCAUCUUUGUUUAAUUUGCAA